UCGGGGAGAGACUUUGCUGGGCAGCGCC
rnacentral:piRNA from 1 species